rnacentral:rRNA from 1 species
GACGAACGCUGGCGGCGUGCUUAACACAUGCAAGUCGAACGGAAAGGCCCUGCUUUUGUGGGGUGCUCGAGUGGCGAACGGGUGAGUAACACGUGAGUAACCUGCCCUUGACUUUGGGAUAACUUCAGGAAACUGGGGCUAAUACCGGAUAGGAGCUCCUGCUGCAUGGUGGGGGUUGGAAAGUUUCGGCGGUUGGGGAUGGACUCGCGGCUUAUCAGCUUGUUGGUGGGGUAGUGGCUUACCAAGGCUUUGACAGGUAGCCGGCCUGAGAGGGUGACCGGCCACAUUGGGACUGAGAUACAGCCCAGACUCCUACGGGAGGCAGCAGUGGGGAAUAUUGCACAAUGGGCGGAAGCCUGAUGCAGCAACGCCGCGUGCGGGAUGACGGCCUUCGGGUUGUAAACCGCUUUCGCCUGUGACGAAGCGUGAGUGACGGUAAUGGGUAAAGAAGCACCGGCUAACUACGUG